AUUGACACGACUCUCGACAAUGGAUAUCUCGGCUCUCGCAUCGAUGAAGAGCGCAGCGAAAUGCGAUACGUGGUGCGAAUUGCAUAAUCCCGCGAACCAUCGAGUCUUUGAACGCAAGUUGCGCCCGAAGGCCAAUCGGUCGAGGGCACGUCCGCCUGGGCGUC
rnacentral:rRNA from 1 species